rnacentral:sRNA from 1 species
GGCAAAGAUCGUGUGAGUGUGCA